UUUCCGUAGGUGAACCUGCGGAAGGAUCAUUCAUAAUAAAGUGUUUUAUGGCACUUUUUAAAAAUCCAUAUCCACCUUGUGUGCAAUGUUAGAUCUCGUCAAUCUUGGCGAGAUUUUUAUACAUCAACUCAUUUUUUAACUAGUUUGUCUGAAAAAUAUUAUGAAUACUUAAUUCAAAAUACAACUUUCAACAACGGAUCUCUUGGCUCUC
rnacentral:misc_RNA from 1 species